AACACUGUUAACCUGCGGUACCUGCGGAGGGAUCAUUACCGAGUUAGGAUACUCUUCGUGCCCGACCUCCCAACCCUUUGUCUACCUGACCAGAUGUUGCUUCGGCAGGCCCGCCGCCCCGCAAGGGGUAGCCGCCGGGGGCCCUUACCGGCUCCGGGUCCGCGCCUGUCGAUGGCCCUCUAUAAACUCUUGCUUAAACCGUGUCGUCUCAGUAAAACAAACAAAUAAAAACAAAACUUU
rnacentral:misc_RNA from 1 species